UUCUGAUUAUUCUCCGUAAGCCACCAUGAUGACAAUGGUGAGGGGGUUGGGUUCACUUCACACUUGGUUCACACUUUUCGGAGCACAAGCGGCUCGGAAAGGCCCGUUCACGGAUUGACUUCAUCGGCGCUCCAGUACAUUGCGACUCUAUUGUACUCUAUGAUUUCAAAUCGCGCGGUAAAAGCCCGUACCCUCUGCACGUCACACAUCUUCAAGAUGGCAGCCAAAUUGAGAUGCGACCACCAUGCACCAUUCUUUAUCCGCCUUGUUUACAAGUAUGUACUUUUCUCUUUGGUAUGUACAAACAACAAGUUGUUUUGAUUCCAUGUACUCUGUGACCACGUGCGACUCAAUCCUUUUUGUGAUCCUGACGACUUUUUUUCUCUGAUUUUUAUUAAUUUAUUCUCAAAUCCGGUACGUGCUAUCCCUCCCUAUCCAUCAGAUAGUAUUAUAUUCUUAUAUACUUAAUAAACUUUGUCGAGUGCACCCAAUUGGACCGCCCCACUGAAUGACCAAUAAUCCGUUAGGCCUUGUUGGCGUACAUAUUUCUGUAUCUAUGGACACAGUCGAUAAGGUCCUGCUGUUCCUUUCACUCAUCGUUGACCGGGUGCUGGAUGUUGUAAGGGAAAGCGGCUGCUUAAACGACGACUCUGAGUCCGAGCAAGGAGAGUGCGAGUACGCUCCAAUAGAAUACAAUCGGGUGAGAAAGAAAUUCAUGUUGCAUGUUCAAUUCUUGUGUUCAAAUGUGUUACAUAAAAAAAAUUUCAUGUUACCACAACUUAUGUUCUCUUGAAUAACAUUCAUUUCCAUGACAUUUUGCAUGAUUCCACUCAAGUUUUCCGUGUUUUCCCCCAUAAAUGUUGUGCUCUUGCUAGUAUGUAGUGAGCCAAUGCAAUUAGGAGCCCUUCGCCAAGAAAAACCCUUGCAUCUUCCAAAACUGUUCAUUAAAAUAUCGAGGCUCUCCAUAGGCUUCAUUUGGCCUUUUUCCAUUUCCAUAUGCAAGUAAUUGCCGCAAUAAGUUCCUGAAAUUCAACCAUAGUUUGUUUUUUCUGAUUUUUUGGCAAGAUAUUUUUCCUGAAUCCUCUUCUUCCUCUUCUCUUCUUCUUCUUCUUCUUCUUCUUCUUCUUCUUCUUCUGCUUCUUCAUCAUCAUCAUCAUCAUCAUCUUCUUCGUCUUCUUCUUCUUCCUCCUCCUCCUCUUAACUUUUAUGUGUUUUCGUUCAUGUUAUAGGACGAUUCCGAGUGUGAGCAUGAAGAAUGGGAAAACCUUGAAAUAGAUUAAGAUCAGGUGAGAAGAAAAUUCAUGUUGCAGCAUGUUCCUUUCUUGUGUUCAAGUAUGUUACAUCAAAAAAAUAUUAUGUUUCCGUAACUUACGUUCUCUUGGAGACCUUUCAUCUACACACAUUUGUUUUUUUUUACACAUGAUUCCACUCAAGUUUUCCGUGUUUGCCUAUAAUUGUUGCGCUCAUGCUAAUGUAUACGUAGCCCGUAACCUUAGCACAAGGGUUUCUCGUACUAAAGAUAAGACCGCGCUUGAAAGGGUCACACAGGUCAAAGGGUUUUGUUUGAGAUAAAACAGAAUGAUUCCAGGAGAUUCGAAUUUUGCCGCCCUCUGAAAGCAGUGAAAAGACCAAUAAAAUGAAAGAAUAUUAGUUGCGGAGUUUUUUUUCUUUUUUUCUGUUGAACUGUCAAGUAAAUCGAGUGACGAAAUCGUUAUACAGGGUGAUCCAGACCAGCCGUCCACUAUCGUAUUCUCGAAAACGGCGGAGAAUUGAGCUUCGGGACUAAAACUAUCAUUGGGUAAAUCGACCCCAAAGAAUCGAAUGAAAAUAUUUCAGCCCCCCAAAAUGGUCCCUUUGGCGGGGGGGACCACCACUUCCAACAAAACUGACACGGUUCCGGUACCAACCUAAAAAAUUUCGGGAAAAAAGUCGGGUGCGGCCUUUUCCCCGUGCGGCCUUUUACCCCCACCUACCCUAAAUAGAGCAGCUCUCAAGCAUCUAAGUAUACUCAAAGAUCAAGGUUUUAAGGAAGCAGGGUCCAAGAAAAACAUUUCCAAUGAAUUUUUCCUUUGAAUUCCAUCAUUUUGAGACCAAUUUCAAAAAAACUUGUACAAUGUAGCUUUACAAAACCCUGCCUCUCUAAGCUGGAAGUAAUGAUGACCUUGAGCACAAGGCUCAUAGUGUGAUGAGGUAACUGGUUUUUUAUUAACAGUUUUUUCAUUCACACCUCUCUCAAAUCUUGAACUCAUGAAUUUUUGCUGGCUUAGCUCUUGUCAAAUGAACUUCAACUACUAUUUAUUGUGGUGCCCUUUUAUUUUCUUACCGAUUUGAUUUGGCUUCUGGCUCAAAAAAUGUUGAUUCGUCCCUUUUCUGCCACUUUUUUCUCCUCUCUGGAAACCAUGUAGCGUAGCUAAUGCACUGGCAUAAGUGCUCUCUUUUUUUAUUGGAAAAUAGAGGUGGUGGUACCAUGAAAAGAACUUCGUGGAUAAAAAUCAUUGGAUAGCUUUAAUAGAACAAGGCGAGGAAGAAAUAUUUUUUGGAAGUUGACAUAAUGGCCUCAUUUAAGAGUUCAUAAUUUUGUAGUCUGCAGAAGCUCUUGAAAAAAACGCAAUUUCCACAUACAUCAAUUUACUUCAGAUGU
rnacentral:lncRNA from 1 species